rnacentral:rRNA from 1 species
GACGAACGCUGGCGGCGUGCUUAAACACAUGCAAAGUCGAGCGGUAAGGCCCUUUCGGGGGUACACGAGCGGCGAACGGGUGAGUAACACGUGGGUGACCUGCCCUCAGCUCUGGGAUAAGCCUGGGAAACUGGGUCUAAUACUGGAUAUGACUCCACGGUGCAUGUCGUGGGGUGGAAAGCCUUGUGCGGCUGAGGAUGGGCCCGCGGCCUAUCAGCUUGUUGGUGGGGUGAUGGCCUACCAAGGCGACGACGGUAGCCGGCCUGAGAGGGCGACCGGCCACACUGGGACUGAGACACGGCCCAGACU